rnacentral:rRNA from 1 species
UACGUAGGGGGCAAGCGUUAUCCGGAUUUACUGGGUGUAAAGGGAGCGUAGGUGGCAUGGUAAGCCAGAAGUGAAAACCCGGGGCUCAACCCCGCGGAUUGCUUUUGGAACUAUCAGGCUGGAGUGCUGGAGGGGUAAGCGGAGUUCCUAGUGUAGCGGUGAAAUGCGUAGAUAUUAGGAGGAACACCGGUGGCGAAGGCGGCUUACUGGACAGAAACUGACACUGAGGCUCGAAAGCGUGGGGAGCAAACAGG